GUUUGGUAAUUCUGCCGACAACGCUCGUGGGCAGGUAAAGUGAACUAAACUGAGUCGAUAAGUCCUGUAUCAUUUUGCAAUUUUCGCAAUAGU